ensembl:lncRNA
CACAGAUGAGCUCUGCUGGACAGCUGGUCCUCAAACCCAGAAAAUUGGCCUUUGUCUAUUUUAUCUAUUUCAACAAGCAUAAACAACAAUAUCAAAAUCAUAGAGAUGAAUACUAGGCAGAAUUGAGAAAGGAAAGGAAGAUCACCUUCUUGAAAAGAUGAUUUCUGCUUGAGUUUGGAAAUACCAGCAAAAAACACAAAAGCUCCCAUUUACAUCCGCUGAAAUGUUUAUAUUAUGUGAUUAAUUAUCUAAACAAUGCACCACUCCAGUUCUCUUCAACACUUAGAAGUGCCUUUCCACAGUUUGCAACCAAAAUGAACAAUUCCUGGAGACUCCUGGAGACUUGAAAUUCAAAGAAAUGGAAGUGCGAGUUCUUGUUCCCAAUAAGACAGUUCAAAAGCUGAAAGCUGGCAUGGGUCCAUGGGACCCUCCACCCCAUUAGUCAUGGAACUAAGCAGGACUGGGCCUGAAUCGUGACAGUUGUCCCUGCAGAAUGGGAACAAGCUGAGGUAGCUUUGUGGUUGGUGUCUACUAGAGGCUGCUUGAUCAACUGGAACCUGUUGACGAAGCCUUCUUCCUCCAGCAACAGGAUACUUCAAGAUUGCACACUCCCAUCUUGUUGGGGGACUUCAACCACUCUGACAUCUGAUGAAAAAAAAAACAACACUGCGACAUCUAAGCAAUCCAGAAGAUUCCUGGAAUGCAUCGAGGAUAACUUCCUGAGCCAGGUAAUAGACAGAUGCACCAAGGGGCAUGCAAUGCAAGCUCUGUUGCUCAUCAACACACAUGACCUUAUGUUAGAGGCUGCCUCGGCUGUAGUCACCAUGCAACAGUGGAAUUCACACUCCUAAGGGAUAUCAGACAAAGAUUAAAAUCAGGAUGCUAAAUUUUAGAGAAGUCAAAUUCCAGUUCUACAGGGAGUUAGUCGACAAAACCCACUGAGAAUCUGUCCUCAAGGACAAGGGAGCAGAGCAUUUUUAAGAAGGGCAGAAAGGAUGACCUAAGGAACUACUGGCCUGUCAGUCUCAGAUCUGUGCCAGGAAGAUCAUACCAUCCAUUGGGAUUUUAGUAAGGCCUUUGACAUGGCCUCCCACAACAACCCGGUCUCCAGAUUGGAAUUAUCUAAAUUUGAUGAGUAAACUGUUCAGUGGAUGAACAACUUGUUGUGAGAUCAUAUCCAGAGAGUGGUGGUCAGUGCCUCAAUGUCUGGAUGGAGAUCAUUGGUUAGUGAUAUUCCUCAAGGGCCAGUACCAGGAUCCACUAUCAGCAGUGGCACUGAGAGCACCUUCAGCUAGUUUUUAGAUGACACCAAGCUGUGUGAUGCAGUGAACGUGCCUGAGGGAUGGAAAGCUGUUCAGAGAGACCUAGACAGGCACAAAGAGUGGCCCCAAGUGAACCUCAUGAGGUUCAAAAAAUCCAUGUGCAAAGGCUUGUGGCAAAGCCCACUGUCAUACAAUCUGGGGGAUGAAAAGACAGAGCACAUUCCUAUCAAAAAGGACUUGGGGGUACUGGUGAAUGACAAAUUGGACAUGUGCCAGCAAUGUGCCCUCGCAGCCCAGAAAGCCAACUGUAUCCUGGGCUGCAUCAAAAGACGUGUGGCCAGCAGGGCAAGGGAGGUGAUCCUGCCCCUCUACUCUGUGCUGGUGAGACCUCACCUGCAGUACUGCGUCCAAGUGUGGAGUCCUGAGUACAGGAGAGACGUGGGCCUGUUGGAGCACAUCCAAAGAAGGGACAGAAAAAUGAUCCAGAUGAUGGAGCACCUCUCCUAUGAGGACACACUCAGAGAGCUGGGGCUGUGCAGCCUGGAGAAGGCUGCAAGGAGACCAGGCCUUUCAGUAGCUAAAGGGAAUGGACUAUAAGAAAAAAAGGGACAAAUUCUCUAGCCGAGUCUGUUGUGAAAAGAUAAGGGGAAAAAGUUUCAACUAAAAGAGGAGAGGUUUAGACCAUAUAUAUGAAACAAGUUUUUUUUUCAGUAAGGGCAGUGAAACACUGGAACAGGUUGCCCAGUUAUGUGAAUACCUGGGGACCCUGGAGGCAUUCAAGGUCAGACUCGAUGAGGCUCUGAGAACUCUUAUCUAGCUGUGGAUUGUCCCUCUCCAUUGCAGGGGAAUUGGAUUAGAUGACCUUUAAGGGUCCCUUCCAACUAAAAAAUUCUCUGAUUCUGUGUAAGGCCUCACCAGUGCUGAGUACAAAGGAACAAUCACUUCCCUAAUCCUGCUGGCUACACUACAAGCCAGGCUCACAUUGGCCUUUUUGGCCACCUGGGCACACUACUAGUUCAUGUUCAGCCAUCUAUCAGCUAACAUCCCCAGAUCCUUUUUUUGCUGUGCAGCUUUCCAGCCAUUCUGACCAAAGCCUACAGUAUUGCAUGAGGCUGUUUUGACUGAAGUGUAGGACAUGGCACUUAGUCUUGUUGAAUCUCAUAAAACUAGCCUCAGCCCAUUGGUCCAGCUGUCCAGGUCCCUCUGUACAGUAUUCUGACCUUCAUACAGAACAAUUUUCUUCCAGUUUGGUGUCCUCCACAAACUUACUAAGGGUGAAUUCAAUCUCCUGGUCCUGACCAUAAAUAAAGAUUAUUAAAUGAGACAUGGGCCAAGCCAGCUGGAUUUAACUCUAUUCACUACUACUCUCUGGGCCCGACCAUCCACUCAGUUAUUUACUAGUCUAAGCUGUGGUCUGUCAGUUUUUCCAGGGGAAUACUGUGGAAGACGGUGUCAAAGUAUUUACUAAAGUCUAGGAAAACUACAUUCACAACCUUUCUCUCAUCUAUUACAUGGGGCAUCUUGUCACAGAGGGAGAUCAAGUUGGUCAAGCAGAAAAUACCUUUCAUGAGCUCAUGCUGGUUAGGCCUUGUUGUCUCACACAUGCUGUGACCACAAUCAAGACUAUCUGCUCUAUGAUCUUCCCCAGUACCAAGAUCAAACUGACAGGCAUGUAGCUCCUUGGAUCUUCCUUCUGUCCCUCCUUGUACAUGGGCAUCACACAGAUGAGUCUCCAGCCAUCUGGGACCUCCCCAGUUGACCAGGGCUGCUGAUAAAUAAUGGAAAGUGGCUUGGCAAGCAUUUCCACCAAAUCCCUCAGCACUUUUUGUUGGAUCCCAUCUGGCCUCAAGUCUUGUGAGAGUCCAGGUGGAGCAGGAGAUCACUCAUUCUUUCCUCCUCAAUUAUGGAUGUUUAUUUUGUUCCUCGUACCCACCUUGCAUCUCAGGGGUCUGAGCACCCUGAGGAUAACUGAUCUGAUUAUUAAAGACAGAAGUAAAGAAGGCAUUACACGCCUCAUCCUUGUCCUCAUCUUGGUGGUAAUGUCCCCAGCCAAUAUAGGAUAAAGAUUCUCCUUGGCCCUUGCUUUGCUAUUAAUGUAUUUGUAAAGACAUUUAUUUGUUAUCUUUUACAUUAUUAUUUUUUAUCAUUUAUAGAAUUCUUAUGUAAAAUGGCGUAUCAUUUUAGCAGCUCCUUCUGUAGAAUAACCAUAUCAUAGGGUACUAUUAUUUACAGCUCAGAUUUCCAAAUAGUUACUAUGUAUUAUGAAAAAUAAGCAUCUUCAAAAAGAUUUAAUUCUGUCGGAUUACUUCACAUCCAUGAAUCACAAAAGAAGUUGAUCCAUGUAAGCCAACAUAUUCCAUACAGUAAUAAAAUUCCAUACAAUAAUAAUGUGAAUAAUGAAAAAUAAUGAAAAUUAGAGUUAACACUUCUUGCUUUGUUUUUUUUUUUUUUUUUUUUAAUUGUCCACUUAUAAUCCUUCAGACCAGUAAUUAGAAUAAAUUGUGUAUUGGUGACAAUUGUUUCUGCUGCUUUGCAUGCCUGUAUGAAAUACAGAAAAGUCGUGAUGGUGGAAUACACGUAGCUCUAAUUUUGAAAGCUUUUUGUCAUUUUCAGCUUAGUAAGUCUGUGUAAGUCUCUUGCAUUAUGCAUUUGCUUCUCAUUUUUGUAUUUUUUUACUACUUGUUUGGAGGGAAAAACUAACCAUAGUGAAUACAACAGCAUUUAUGAAAACUUCAAGAGGGAAACUAUGUCUACUGCAAUCUUUAAUAAAUAUUUGUGGUACUAAUUACAGAAUUGGUCCCUGCUUGCCAGGAAGUGGAGUAAUCAAAAUUCAUGAAAUACUAAAUGUAGAAGUCAGUGCCUUAUUUUAGCUAUAAAAUUAUAUUUUAGUCAUGUGCUAGAGGCCUUAUUUUAAACAUUUUUACAUAGACUAUCUGCUGAAGUACUAAAUGAAAGCACA